UGGGGGUAAAUUAAUUAGGGUAGUAUAUUAAUAAAAAAAUUUUUAGAGAAUAAAAUAUUUAAUGGGGGUUAAAGUAUUUUGUUGGAAAAAAUUUUUAGGUUUAUAGAGUAUUAUGUAUUGAGAAAGAAUUUUGAAAUAAUUUAAAUAUAUAAUUAUUUUAAAAGUAGAUUUUAUUUAUUGUAUCUUGUGUAUCAGAGUUUAUUUAUAAAAUUUUUUAAGUAGAAAUUUCUCGAAUUUAAAGGGGAUAAUUAGUUAAUAAAUUUAUUGUGGUAAAAAUAUUUUUAAUAAUUAAUUUGAAAUGAAAUGUUAAUCGUUUUUAAAUAUAUCUAGUUUUUUUAGAAAAAAAUUUAAUUUUAAAUUUUUAUAAAAAUUAAAUUAGUUGUUAUUUAAUUUUUUAAUUAAAAAUUUUAUAUUUUAGGGGAUAAGCUUUAAAUUAAAUUAAUAUAAAAUAGGAUUUUUAUUUUAAAAUUUUUAUAAUUUAUAUUUUUAAUAAAUUUUAAUUUGUUAUAAAUAAUUUUAUUUAAAGUUAAAAUUUAAAAUUUAUUUUAUUUUUUUAUAAAAAAGUGAAUUUUAAUUUAAAAGAUUUAAUUAUAAUGAUAAAAUUAGUAUAUAAUUUAAUUAGUAAGAUAUUUUAGGUUUAAGUUAAUUUAAAUUUAAGGAAUUCGGCAAAUUUUUAUAUUCACUUGUUUAUCAAAAACAUGUCUUUUUGAAAAUAAUUUAAAGUCUAAUCUGCCCACUGAUUUAAAUUAAAGGGCUGCAGUAUUUUGACUGUACAAAGGUAGCAUAAUCAUUAGUCAUUUAAUUGGUGACUUGUAUGAAAGAUUGGAUGAAAUAUAGACUGUCUUGGGUUUAAAUAUAAAAUUUAAUUUUUUAAUUAAAAAGUUUAGAUGUUUUAAAAAGACGAGAAGACCCUAUAGAGUUUAAUAUAUUAUUUUUGUUGAAAUUAUUUAUUAAAUAAAAUUUUUAAUUUUGAUAGUAUAUUUGAUUGGGGUGAUUAAAAAAUAUGAAUAACUUUUUUUAUUUUUAAACAUGAAUUAAUGGUUAAGUGAUCCAAUAUUAUUGAUUAUAAGAGAAAAUUACCUUAGGGAUAACAGCGUAAUUUUUUUUUUUAGUUCGUAUAAAAAAAAAAGUUUGCGACCUCGAUGUUGGAUUAAGAUAAAAGUUAGAUGUAGAAGUUUAAAUUUUUGAUCUGUUCGAUCAUUAAAAUCUUACAUGAUCUGAGUUCAAACCGGUGCAAGCCAGGUUGGUUUCUAUCUUUUAAUAGAUGAAGUAUUUUAGUACGAAAGGAAUAAAUAUUUAAAUUAUAUUUAUUAUAUUAUGAAUUUUAAUAAUUUUGAUUGUAUAUUUGAAUUAUUUAAUUAAGGUAAUUGGAGAAGUA
rnacentral:rRNA from 1 species